CCCCACUAGCAGUAUAGGAGAGGCUAGUUCUCUCACAGUCUGCUGUAGGAGAUGCUACUAUGCUCCAGCCCACAUUCUCUCACUUUACCUGAGUUCACCUGGAGUUGCAGUAGGCAAUUCUUAGGUCAGGACACUUCCCACCUCAAGCACUUGUGUCUCUCUUCUCUUCCAGAGGGGUAAUAAAAGCUUGUGGUCUUGCUGCUGGAUAAUAGCAAUUAUUUCCCGAGAGCUAUAGCCUUGCACGAACUUACUUUGAUUUUUCAUCCUCGGCUCACCGCAGUCCUAAUCCUAAUCACUUCUGAGUGGAAUUUUAUAAAACAGAAGGACAGACAUGGAAACAGAAUCACACACACCAGGGGAAGACAGCAUGUGAGUAUCUAUCUUCAAGCCAAGGGAUGCCAAGAGACGCCCGAGGCCAGCAGAUGUUUAGAGAGUCAAAAGUAAGAGGGCAUGGACACUUGAAUUCCGGACUUCAGUCCCCUGAACUGUGAGAUAAUGCAUUUCUGUUCUUUAAAGCCAUCCACUUUGUAGUCUUUUGUUACAGCAGCCCUGGGGGUGCUAAGACAUGGACCCAUGAGGAUCCCCUCUGGACAAAUUGUGAAGGGCAUCGUAUGCCUUUUGUAAAACACAAAAUCAAACGAAAGCAUCUGCAGCCGUGUCAGAGACGCAGGAUUGUGUCUGCACUCUUCCACACCAUGUGUCUGUGUGAAAGUGGAAAUGGAAUGCUGUUUUAAAGAGGCUGUCGUGAGCAAAGUGGCUGGAGGGAAGUGUUCAUGCAGUGAGGGAAAUGAGAAAUGACAUAGGACAGGUAAAGAAGGGGGAGGACUCUGUAAGACUUUGAAAGUGAAGCUGUGGUGCUUGAAUCUAUUGCAUAGCAUUUUUCCAAAGUGUGUUCAGUGGUAUAUGCUAAAAGGUGAUAGAUAAAAAUACAAUUUCACAGUCAAUUAGUUCGAGAAAUAGAGGGUUAAACUAAGUUCAAUUGGUUUCUUUGCUGCUGGGUUUGCAGAGCCUUUAAUAUGCUGCUUUGAGUGAUUUCUCUCCAAAAAAGGAACAAAAUGAGCAGUUCCUCAAACUUGUUUGUUCACAAAAUCCACAUUUUCUGGAAUGGCUUAUGGCGAUCAGAGGAUGCACUUUGGGAAACAUUGCCAGAGGAAGUCACUUGCCAACAGACAUUUCUGAUCUGAGGAGUAUCACAGAAGAAAGGCAGUAUGGUAUUGUGGCAAUUAACUUUGGAACUUUAGUAGGGAGAUGGAAAGAUGAGGCAAAAGGAAGAGUACACGUUGGACACAGGAUGGAAUCUGGAUUGUGUUAGAACAGAGACGGAGAACCAUCCUUUCAAGUCGUAGAAACUUGGGAAAACAAGAGGGACAGAGCUAUAUCUGAGUGUGAAGUGCAUCUGAGUGGCUGAAAAGGAAAAGUUGCCUGCAGAAGCUGGUGUGCUUCUUGACCGGUGUUGAUCCUUCAAAAAACAUUUCUCCACAAAAUAUUAAUGCUGUCCUUCUGCUCCUACCUGAAGAAGCUGUGCUGGACAAGCUAAGAGCCCCCUGCGGGUCCUGCGUGCUAACGAGGAAACAAGACAGCAGGGACACUGCCCAUGACCAAAGAGAAGGCGAAGAGGCCAGUGCAAACAGGCAGCCUGUAACCAAGAACAGGCUGGGAAAGAGAGAGCGAGCAGCCUCUCACCUCUCAAGAAAAAAGAGGACACUGAUGAUACAAUCUGAGCGGAAGGAAACCGUGCUUCGUUACCAUCGUAAAAAUUAUCUGUUUCAUAGACCAGCCUCCCGAAAGGUUUCCAGAGAUGGAUUAUUUAACUUUCCUGUUUGUUAUUCUUCAUGUAUACAAAGCUCUAUGUGAAGAGAUACUUUGGGACACAACUAUUAAAUUUGCUGAGAAUAUGACUCUAGAAUGUACAUAUUCGUUGAUGGACUCCUUAACCCAAAUGGAAUGGUUCAAGAUUAAUACAACAAAGAAAGAGUCCAUGGCGAUUUUCAACCCUACUUAUGGUGGCAUCAUAAGAGAGCCCUAUGCUAAUAGGGUCUACUUCUUAAAUUCAACCAUGGCUUCCAAUCAUAUGGCCCUUUCCUUUUAUAAUGCCUCUGAAACUGACGUUGGCUUCUAUUCCUGCUCUCUUUACACAUUCCCAUCUGGACCUUGGAAAAAGGUGAUACGAGUGGUUCAGUCAGGUAAGGGCAAGUUUCAUUUUCCUUUUCCCCCACCUACAACAUUUGAUUCCACAAAACCCAAGUAAAAACCAAAAAAAAGAAAAAGAAAAAGAAAAAUCCAAACCAGUUGCCGUGAAGUCGAAAGUUCAAGUAGAGGCUACAAUAUGCUUUAUUAUAUUUUUGUAUCAUUUUCUAAUUCAAUUUAUAGAUUUUAUGAUAUUAUUGUUUUAAAGAAAUAAUAAUGCAAAUCAAUUUCAUUUUUCUUAAGAUGUCCUCAUUUCUCAGUAGAAGAGUCUCACAAAUUUGAAUGCAAUGGGAGAAAGCACAGAUUAUAUAUUGUCUGAAUGGUAACUUGAACAUAGACUUAACUGAUGGUGGCAAUGCUUGGGUUCAGGAGCCAGGUACCUCCUCUCUUGAAACUUUAUGCUAGUGAUGUUGCACCAUCCCCUUUCGCUAGGCACUCAGUGUUAACUUCAGCAUCUGGAUGUUCAAAGUCCUUUCUGCAGCACCAAAUCUGGAAUUAUUGGUGAAUUCUGGGCAGGAUCCUAAUACUCGCUCCGUCUUUCGCCUCAUCCAAGUUCAGCUGGAGAGAAUUUUAGAAGUUGUUAACUAUCAUGUUGGGAAGAAUCUAAUGAUCUCUUGAGGCAUUUUCUGCUGUACCUAACAGCAACUUUUGGCUUGGUGCUUUGCAUGUUAGUCGUUCUAUUAAUAGCCACAUGGCGUGGGUUUGGUAGAUUGGAAAGAACUUGGUUUUAUAGUCAUUACAUUCUGUAUAACCUGUGUUAGUUGCUCCAUCCUUUGGAAUCUCAGGUUCCUGAAUAGUAAAUUAGUAUAAUAAUAACUUUCUCUUUGUUGAAUGGUUUAGAGAUAAUAUAUUUAAAGAUGAUAGUCAGAGAAAGGUAGAUAUUAUUAUUGCCCGUAUUAUUAUUAUUUCUUAGCUUUUGAUACAAAGUGACUAAUGAAGAAAUUUUCAAAUGUUGGUCACAGCCUAGGGAAGGAAAUAUUUUAGAACUGUAUGUUUCUUGUCAGGUGUCGUUCAACUUAAACCCUGUGGACAUUAAACCCUGAGGGGACAUUCCAUGACGUAUGAUAGGAUGCUUUUUUUUAAGGCAUCCACAUCCUAAAAGAACAAUAUAUAGUGUUACCUGUAAGGAAUAUCAAAUGGUGAGAAGGUGAGAAAAAAGUUCCUUUGUUAGGUUUCCCUUUCGCUUCAGGUGUAGCUGAACUCAGGGAUAAUUUUGUGAUUUAUGGUUGGGGCUUACAGGGUGUCAAUUAGCAAAACCUGUUUUUCAUCCACCACUCAUUUAUAAAGAAUUCAUGCUGCCACGGAAGUCUUCGUUUGCAGUUGUUUGCAGCCAUCUGUUAAAUGUGUUUGCCAGUUCUUAGUGGAUGGUCCACGUCUGAUCAGCUAUGCCAAUAAAGAAGUGAAUUGACAAGGGUCUUAAAGCAGAGUGAUCCUUCAGGAGACGGCCAGAACCACUGAGGAUAGAACAAGAUGGGUCCCCUCUCUGCCCUGUGUGGCCAGCCUUGGCAGUGUUGGCUCCAGAUCAGGUGUUCGAUUUCUGUCAGAAGGCAACCAGUUGAAGCCAGAUAGCUUGAUGUCUUCUGAAAGGUCAGGAUAGAGGAUGAGACAAAUUGUAGAGAACUAAACUGUGGGUGCAACACCAAGAUAGUGCACUUUGCAUCACAUAUGAAAUAAAAAAAGGCAAUAUUUUCUUAUUUUUGUCAUUCAGAUUAUUGCUCCUGCUAUUUUUUGAGGGCAGGAAAGGUGAGAUCUCGGCCUUACUGGCUUUUUCAGAAACAAUGGUGAUGUUUUCAGUCAGUCUCCCACCAGAGCAAGGGGCCCUGACCUUCCAUGUCGUUUGAAUUCUCCGUGAUGGCAUCCUUAAACAUGUUCAUGACGCUGUUGUGCAUUUAUAUUUUAAAGAAUGGGUUGAGGUAAAGGUUCAGUGAGAGUGUUCACCCACUUUUUAAACAAAUUUCACU